rnacentral:rRNA from 1 species
UACGGAGGUUGCGAGCGUUAUCCGGAUUUAUUGGGUUUAAAGGGUGCGUAGGCGGUUUGAUAAGUCAGUGGUGAAAGUUUGCAGCUUAACUGUAAAAUUGCCAUUGAUACUGUCAGACUUGAGUACAGAUGAGGUAGGCGGAAUGUGUGGUGUAGCGGUGAAAUGCUUAGAUAUCACACAGAACACCGAUUGCGAAGGCAGCUUACUAAACUGACACUGACGCUGAGGCACGAAAGUGUGGGGAUCAAACAGGAUUAGAUACC